AAACCAACCGGGAUUGCCUUAGUAACGGCGAGUGAAGCGGCAAAAGCUCAAAUUUGAAAUCUGGUACCUUCGGUGCCCGAGUUGUAAUUUGGAGAGGGCAACUUUGGGGCCGUUCCUUGUCUAUGUUCCUUGGAACAGGACGUCAUAGAGGGUGAGAAUCCCGUGUGGCGAGGAG
rnacentral:rRNA from 1 species